AAUAGAUAAACAACCCAAUUGUCAAAAUGUGCGUGAUGACAGAAGCAAAAAAAUUUCCUCCCGCAUACAUGCAAAAACCAAACACAGUCAACGCGAAUUAGGUUGUUCUACUAUUCACGGAUUUCUGAUUUUAAUAUAUAUGUCCUUCGUUUUGGAGGGGUAAAAAUCGCCUUAAAUCGCUUGAACGACAGUUGGUACAUGGACGAGCUGCCAUUGUAGCGAUUUCGAGCAACUUUUGUUUGUGAUUUAUAAAUCGAAGGAACAUUUAGAUAUUGCCCUCCAUCGAUAUCGUAACGUCAAUGAGCUAUGAUAUAAAUAGCCCAAACUUAACUUAAGCUUAAUAAGCCGGUAUACAACAAAAUUGUUUGCUGGAACUGCACCUCAUUACAAAAUUUUAUAGGAAUGUAAGCAUUUAAUUCAGGCUAAAAGUUUUCGGUGAUGGUGUUGGGCAUAUCUGCGCACUUGGAGGGAUUUCAUUCACAUGGACUUUGCAUUACUUACUCGUAAAAGUUACUCGUAAAGUAAAAGUUAAAAAAAAAAAUUAAAAUGGAUAUCGAACUUUCAAAUCUACAAGAAAACGACGCGGAAUUGAAUGUUUCAUAUCAUGGCACAUCCGCAACAAUGAUUUCACCCGAAACUCUAUCUAUUACGAUUGAGAGAAUGCAAAUCAUUUCAGUCAGCAUAUGGAAGUUUGUCCACCACAGGAGAGCAGUUUACUAGAAGCCUGCAAUAAAAAGCCUAUAUUCA